AGUAUUUUAGAAGGAAUGAGUUCCCACUCCUGCUCAUGUUACUAAGCAGAACAAGUUUCCCCACAUCUAGUAAGAAGACGGAUAUAUAGGAGCCAUGCUCAAAUGAAUUACCACCAUAAACACAGAAAUGAUGAGGCAUUGAAAUUUCAUUUAGCCAACGGCUGAAUCUCAGAAAUAGCCACACAUUUGAAAUCAAGCCAUUUUCUUGGGUACUGAUAAUUAAAAUUAGUGCUGCCACAAAGCCAGAAAGCAGGGCCUUCUGAGACCAGGAAAAGCCAUCUUCAUAAUGGAUACAGGGCUCCAGCCCCACCUUCAGGAGGGAGGAAAGCUGCACAGAGAGGCCAAAAAGAGUCACCCUUGCUGGGUUUUCCUUCCCAGACGUCAGCACUGGAUCAGACCCCCUUUGCCCAGGCCCCUUUCUACAUGACUGUCCAUGCUUAAGUCAUGGCUGUGCAAUAAAGACUCCACAAAAACCAAAAAGAAAGAGUUCAGAGUUUCUAGAUAGCAAAAUCCAUGCGGGUUCCCACAGGGUGGUGCGCCCAUUGGGGUGUGGAAGCUCUGUUCCCCUUCCCCAUACCUCACACUGUGCAUC
rnacentral:lncRNA from 1 species